CCAGGUCUUGACAUCCUCUGACACUCCUAGAGAUAGGACUUUCCCCUUCGGGGGACAGAGUGACAGGUGGUGCAUGGUUGUCGUCAGCUCGUGUCGUGAGAUGUUGGGUUAAGUCCCGCAACGAGCGCAACCCUUGAUCUUAGUUGCCAGCAUUCAGUUGGGCACUCUAAGGUGACUGCCGGUGACAAACCGGAGGAAGGUGGGGAUGACGUCAAAUCAUCAUGCCCCUUAUGACCUGGGCUACACACGUGCUACAAUGGAUGGUACAAAGGGCAGCGAAGCCGCGAGGUGAAGCCAAUCCCAUAAAACCAUUCUCAGUUCGGAUUGCAGGCUGCAACUCGCCUGCAUGAAGCCGGAAUCGCUAGUAAUCGCGGAUCAGCAUGCCGCGGUGAAUACGUUCCCGGGCCUNNUACACACCGCCCGUCACACCACGAGAGUUUGCAACACCCGAAGUCGGUGGGGUAACCGUAAG
rnacentral:rRNA from 1 species